UAUGACCAUAUAUGAUAACAGUUUCGGGUUGUUUGCCGACAUAGCUUGACAUAGCUGGGAAAAAAACCAAGCAUGUAAUUAAAUGAACUCCAUUGGUUCCGAAAGUUAAUUGUUGUACAUUAGACUGCAAUGAUUGGUUGGUCUGGGAGGGGUAAGUUGUUGAUCACGUGAUUACGAGCUGAAGCCCGGAUGAAGCGUGUAGCUAGCUCCCGGCCAGUCUUGUCUCGGAAGUUGUAGUAUUAACAUCUAACUUGUAUGUAACGUGAAAUUGAGAAUAUAUAUCUUAUUUGUAUUAAGACUCAGAUAUACUAUUGUGUAGAUUCAAUUCAAGUACAUUUUAACUAUUUGUGAAUAGUGUUUUCAAGUUAUUAAUUAAAGUAAUUGUUUUGGACGAAGAGAAGUUUCUUCAUUGAAUUUAGAUCGUACUUAGAUCAUAUUUGUCAAGUUGUAAAUCCUAGACGAUCCUCUUAUUAAUUGGCAACAUUCUAUAUGAUCGUAUUAUCAACAUAGAUCUGUCUACUUCUAUACGAUCAUCUUAUCGAAAGAUCAUUUCAAGAUCCUCGGCAAUCACGAUCAUUGAUGGUACAAUAUAGUUCAAGUUUGAUCGUGACAGUAGCACAAUCUUAGAUUGUGACAUCAACACCAUUGAUGAUCGUGACAGGGAUCUACUACAACUGCUCAUGAAUUUUGAGAUUGUACAGCAAAUAGAGGUACAAAUUUUAUCUGCUUCCACUUAGACAAACAGCAUGGAAAUGUGCUAUUGUAAUGAGUAGAAGAUAUUUGUCAUUUAGAGUAUCAUGUGUCAUUGACUUAUGAAAACAUAAUGCAACAGCAAAUUAUCAGUCAGCACAUUUCAAGAUGAGGAAAAGAACAGUAUAAGCUACAUUCAUUGAUGCAUAAUUUAUACAAAAUGUAUAGUCAACCCAGUCAUCAGUCCAUUUUUUUAUGAGGCCAGUUAUAGUUACAAUGAAGGGAUGAAAUUUCAGAUAAUAUUCUGUUUGUUUUAUGAAAUGAGAAUAGACCUACAUUAGAAAUUGAAAUGGUCAGCUUCAGUAUUUAAUGUUUCAUUUAAAAAUGAUAAUUUUAUUAAUACAUAUUUGAUGUACAAACAAAUGUUUUUGUAAAAUGUUUGUAAAAUGUUUCACAUGUUUCGGAUGUUCCUUCAGAGUUGAAGAUAGUUUACUUCCUAGUCCAAACCUCCUGCAGGACGACGGGGGAUGGGAGCGGGCAGGGUUUGAACCCUCGGCAAAUCCAAAUGACAGUCCAGCGCCCAAGCCGCAUGACCAGGCAGCCAUGAAUGAAUGAAAACCAUUCAAACACUUUUUUUUGUGAAGUAUAGAUGAUUAAACUUGUAAGUGUCUAAACAAUA